rnacentral:sRNA from 1 species
GUUUUCGAAAGAGUUU